AGUGAACGCUGGCGGUAGGCCUAACACAUGCAAGUCGAACGGCGGCACAGUAAGAGCUUGUUCUUACGGGUGGCGAGUGGCGGACGGGUGAGGAAUACAUCGGAAUCUACUUUUUCGUGGGGGAUAACGUAGGGAAACUUACGCUAAUACCGCAUACGACCUACGGGUGAAAGCAGGGGAUCUUCGGACCUUGCGCGAUUGAAUGAGCCGAUGUCGGAUUAGCUAGUUGGCGGGGUAAAGGCCCACCAAGGCGACGAUCCGUAGCUGGUCUGAGAGGAUGAUAAGCCACACUGGAACGGAGAAACGGUCCAGACUCCUACGGGAGGCAGCAGUGGGGAAUAUUGGACAAGGGGCGCAAGCCUGAUCCAGCCAUACCGCGUGGGUGAAGAAGGCCUUCGGGUUGUAAAGCCCUUUUGUUGGGAAAGAAAAGCAGCAGGUUAAUACCCCGCUGUUCUGACGGUACCCAAAGAAUAAGCACCGGCUAACUUCGUG
rnacentral:rRNA from 1 species